ACGUAGGUGGCGAGCGUUGUCCGGAUUUACUGGGCGUAAAGGGCUUGUAGGCGGUCCGUUAAGUCCGAUGUGAAAUCUCCCGGCUCAACUGGGAGAGGUCAUUGGAUACUGGCGGACUAGAGGGGGGUAGAGGAAAGCAGAAUUCCUGGUGUAGCGGUGAAAUGCGUAGAUAUCAGGAGGAAUACCAGAGGCGAAGGCGGCUACCUGGACAAUUGCUGACGCUCAGGCACGAAAGCGUGGGGAGCAAAAGGGA
rnacentral:rRNA from 1 species